UUUCCCCUGCCUGGUUCGUUAUCAUCAGCAUUUUUCGAGCCAACUCUUUACAUCUAGGGCGACUCCGCUGAUACUCUAGAGAAUGUUCGCCUUGCUUGCGAAAUCACUCGAAGGUAUUAUGAGACUCACCCACCUAACUAUGUUAGGUUCGAUGUAGCUUUUGAGACGGCCAAGGCGGGGGAUUU
rnacentral:other from 1 species